UGCGCGCGCACGUCAGAGCUGAGUCUGACGUCCGCUCCUCGUGAUGCCUACGUCAUGACGCUGCCAGCUGAUCGGAGUGGGAAGCCGGGUGUGGGUCUGGGUGUGAUGUWAGAGGGAGGGAGGACCGGGACAGGAGUUGUGUAAAAGGGGUUGAAGUCCUGCGGAGUCUCCUCCGCUGCUUCGGAGAUAAAAAAAAAGCUCCCAGAGAAACAAAAUCUGUCAAACCUUUGUUUUUUUGUUCCUUUAUUUCCUUAAAGAAAGUAUUUUUCCUCCUCCAGCGGAGAGGUUAAAGAAAUCCGCAGACUCUGACACACCCUGCCCGGUUAAAGCUCCGGGACUGAGCACCGAGCCGCGGAGGGGCGAGGCGGACCGCUGCGCUCCGGUGGACGGACUCGACCGAACCGUGCACACCGGGGGAGUCACCUCUCUUCGAGCCGUUCGGCUGGGUCGUGCGUCACCCCGGGCUGUCUGGUCUCCCCCACCACAGAUGGCUGACUCACAGCAGUUCUUCACUGGCAAGCUUUAUGUUCCUCUACACAUGCUAAAGCUGCCAGCUGAAGAACUGCUCUGGUCUGCCCUGCCCCGCACGACUCAAGACCAGGAAGAGGAUGUGAGCUGGUGGGAAUCCAAGGUUCAGCAAUCAAACUGGACUUUUGUUUAAUAGGAUUUCCUCGUCGCCGUUUCUAGUCGUGUGUAAACCCCAUUAAAUACAAGGUCCUGUGAUGUCAUUUUUCUUCUAAAUAUGUUGUUUAGUCUCUGCUUAUGUUUUCUCUCCUUUGCAAUAAAGAACAAAAUGUUCUCCGAGUGCACACGGGCAAUAAAACACAUGCCUGUCCUGAAAUAACACACAGGGAAAGCAACAAUGCUGCACAAGGAUGAAUCACAUUUAAUUGUUUUUAACUCUGAAAUAUCUGGUAAUCUCAUUAAAACAAAUAAGAAGCAGAAGUAAAACUUCUGUAUACAAAAGUCACACAUUAGUCACUCGUGUUUAGUCACGACAAACAGCUGCUGCUGUUAGAAAUAUACAAGAGGAAGGAAAAAAACACUUACCUAACUGAUGCUCUGCAGGGCCUGAAGGCGUCUCCAGCUGCCUCACUGAAUUCCUUCAGAGUUCACUUGUGAAAUCACCAGUGAAUUAAUGACUGAAUUCAUUAAAUCAUGAACUUUUUAUUAUUAAUAAAGACARAAUUAAUUUAAA